GAUCCUGGCUCAGGAUGAACGUUAGCGGCAGGCUUAACACAUGCAAGUCGAGGGGCAUCGGGAGUAGCAAUACUGCCGGCGACCGGCGCAAGGGUGCGUAACGCGUGAGCAACAUGCCCGUAUCAGGGGGAUAAUCCAUGGAAACGUGGUCUAAUACCCCAUAGUAAUUAUGUAAGGCAUCUUAUAUAAUUUAAAGCUUUGGUGGAUACGGAUUGGCUCGCGUGACAUUAGCUGGAUGGUAAGGUAACGGCUUACCAUGGCUACGAUGUCUAGGGGUUCUGAGAGGAAGGUCCCCCACACUGGAACUGAGACACGGUCCAGACUCCUACGGGAGGCAGCAGUGAGGAAUAUUGGACAAUGGAUGGAAAUCUGAUCCAGCCAUGCCGCGUGCAAGGAAGACGGCCCUAUGGGUUGUAAACUGCUUUUGUAUGGGAGCAAUAAGGGCUACGUGUAGUCCGAUGAGAGUACCAUACGAAUAAGCACCGGCUAACUCCGUGCCAGCCGCUGC
rnacentral:rRNA from 1 species